AUCGAUCCGGCAAGUUGUCCUCGGCUACAAUUCUGUCUCAUUUUCACUUGUUACAUCUAUGAUGAUAAUAGACUGGAAAUGCUGAAGAAUAUGGAGCACUUUCACAUGCACAGUCAAGUUACGAUUUUCAGCACCACUAGAACCUGGUGGAACAUCCAGCUAGGCGACCGUAUCUCGAUCCGUGGGGUUGCUAUGCUGUGAUGCUAUGGCCAUGGAGAAUAUAGGAACACAAGCAGAAGGCUAAUGCAUUUUCAAUUUGCCAACAUUUUCAACCCCUUCUGCAAGUACCAUCGCCUGAAAUUGCAAGCAGCAGUGAGGAGUGCACUACAAAAUGCUCCGGUCUGGUGCCGCCUUUACUGUCAAAGAUUGUCUGCUUAAAACAUAUCCAUAACUUACAAAAGCUGCAAAAAAAGAAACAAUACAUGUCAUAAAAGUUUAAGAGUUGUUGAUCACUGUAUCUAUGUUGAUAAGCCUAUUUAGUCAAAUCUAAAGAAAAUCCAGAUAAUUCCUUCAAUAUA